GGGGGGAUGCGUCAUGGGAGUCCCUGAAGUUGCCAGUGUGGCCUCAGCUCUGGCAUCACAGGAACACAACCCUGGUCUGUCAAUUGUGAGUGCAUAUAUAUGCCUUUAGGUUUUUGCCCAUUUUUGCUUGACAUGUUUGUAUCUCUGGAGUCUCUUGAGUAAAUUACAGUAAUUCUGAAUCAUUCAAAAUCCAAAUCGAAGCAGGGUAUAAAACUGGAGUUCUGGGAACAUGCUGUCAUUGCAAAGCCAGAUUGUUUAAAGGUGCAGUCAUGUUGCCACAUCCAUGCUUUGUUUGUGGGGUUUUCUCUUCAAGAAAUAACCAGAUACAAUGAUUUUGAUUUAAGCCUCUACACUGGUUUCAGUUUUGUUCCCAGGCUUGCAUGGCUUUUCCAUGGCUUAAAUGUCAUCAGACUCUGUGACAAUUGUUUUAAAACCAUGGAGUUUAAAACAGUGGAGGAAGAUUCUGCCAAUCUUACUGAUGUUUACAUGCUAUUUUAGGGAUUGAUUUUUCAGAAAGCCUGAUGUGCUUUUCAGUGCUUUGUACAUUGGCAUCAAGAAGAUAUUUUUUCCCCUGUUUUUCAUGAUGCCACUUUUGCCCCAGUCAGUUGUGGAAAGUAAAACAGUACUGAGAGCUUUUAUGAAUCUAAAGGCAUUUAAAACCACCCCUGUUGUAGAUUAAAAGUACCUUUCCAGGCCAAAGGUACUUGACAGCAAAAAUAUUGAUCCCGUUUCCUAAGGAUCUAGGCACUAUUAUCUUCCUGCUUACUAGCAUAUACAUUUAAUUGUUUUCCUUCCAACCCACACCCUUUUUUUCCCAGAUGACAGCUAUUUGGAAAAGCUUAUGAAUAUUCUUAUUUUAUCUAGACCAGCUUAUCUUAAUUAUUUUUUUCAACUUUCCUGAUCUCAUUAGAUUCUAUAUGCAUUUUCUUCACACUUGGGUCCUCUAGGCACCUUUUUGCCAUAUCUUUACUGUUGCAAAAAUCUUUAUGCUGGCUUACUGCCCAACUUUAUCAUCUGAAAUAAAAAAAGACUUUUUGGGCUGUCAGUGACCCUUCUUUCAGCUGGCAACCUCAUUUAGCCUUCAUUCAUCUUAAAUUCAUAACUGUCCUUUAAAAUCUAAAUCUACUGCUUUAUUUAGUCUGGCCUAGUUAUAACAUAGUGAUAAUGGAAGCUGGAGUCUUGGUUACAGAGUAAGCUUUCAUUAACUGGGUAAACCUCUUGGUCUUUGUUGGUUCCUAGAAUUGAACUACAGAAACUUGUUACUUGUCUAAUCUGUCCUUUGUUAAGGGCGUUAGUUAAAAAACCCACAAUAGAAAUGCAUGUAGUUUAUGUCAUAAAGCAUUAGGAAGUGCCAGAAGAGAGGUGUCUCAUACCAUUUCCUUACAUGAAGGAUAUAUUAUGAUAUAUUUCUAAUUUACAUCUUCAUGCGCGAUGGCUUUUCCUUUCCUCAUUCAUUAGGGGGAUGCACAAUGCCUGUUGAUCAUUCGUACAUCUUUUACUAGUUUUCCUCUUUCCAAAUGUGCUGACCUGUAUGUAUUAUAGUGUAUCUUGAAUUGAUAUAUUAAGGCUGUAUCCUACAGCCUUUUCUGUGAUGCUUUCCCAUCUAACAACUGGCAUAUCUACAACUGUAAAUGAAUUCUUCUUUAUGACAAGCCUGAAGGUGGUACUGUUAUCCACACUGGAAUCAGCACAUGGGGAGCUAAAUCUGAAGGCAAGCACUUCAGAUGUGAUUUACAAAUGGUACUUCCCACACUGGCAGUGAUAUGAGACAAUCUGAAAGAAUGCAGGUGACCGGUCCCUGGAUUGUUGGUGUAUGAUAACAUCACUAUGUUGCUGCCACACACCCAAGCUGUACAGGAUACCAUGUGAACAGCAGAGUUUGUGAUUGACAUGGGAGGCUCCAAAGGGCUAUCAGCAUCAGCACAGGUUCUUGGCUGCAGGGAUAUAGAAGGGUUGCAUAGAUGGGGGUUGUGUUUGUUUUGGGAAAUACUGUUUCUUCUUCUGUCUCUGAGAGGGAAUACAUUUGGUGAUGUGUUAUUGUUAAACUAUAUAUGUGCUCUCUGGAGAGUCUUGUACACAGUGUACUGUAAUGUAUCGUAUCUGUCUGUAAGAGGAAUAAACAGGUACCUGCUGGUACACAGCCGGGAUCUGUAACAAGAGCUGAGCUCUGCAUUGACAAGGAAAGUGCAAGUGACAUUUGCAGAGGACUUUGCAGCAGCUUCUCACACAAUAUUAUACAGACUGAGAAAACACAGCCCCUGAGGAAACAGAUGAAGGUGCAUUCCUCAUGGAUUGCUAUGUGAUGAGACUUUGGGAGCAGUGCGCAGCAUCAGUAGCCAGCAUCCCAAGAGCAGUAACAGUCCUCUUGCUCAAGGCACUGCCAUCACAAACUGGCAGCCUGCUUCUGUAAAACUGGAGGAAAAGAGUAAGUUAGAGGCAAGCCUUAGCAUUUGGAAGUUAGUCAGCCACCCUGUCACACUCCUGCUACCCUGUUUGGCAGCAGAGCAGGCUGGUGACAAUGUUCUCUGAUCACAGACGGUCUGGAAGUAAACUGGUAGUUCUGCAACUGGAGCAUAUGUCAGCAUUACCUUCAGUCAAAAUGCUUCAAAAUUCACUUCAGUAGCAUAAAAAUAGAGGCUUAGCUUAACAUUUUGUCCCUCUUGUCCUUGUCUUGCUUCUUCCACACACACACCCAUGUGAAGGGGAGGCAGUUUCAAACAAGCUUCUCACAGAAGAGCCACCCUCCCCUCCCAGGACUUGCACAUGCCUCUCCCCACUUCAGUCCCAUCCCACAGUUCUCCAAGGUACCCAGCUCAUGGUCAGGAUAAAUCAAUUCCAAACCCCAAAUCUGCUUUAUGUCCUUGUAUAGCCCAAGCAAGAACUUGAGGCUCCUUCUUCUCCGAGUUGUUGCCCAUCUCUAUGUCAAAUGCUCCCCUUGCAGAAAUUCUCACCCUGGUUAAUGACCUUCUCCUUCUCCUCCCUGUCCCACGGUUUCCUCUCUGCCAUUCCACAUGUGGCUCAGGCUCUUAUCAUCAGCUCAGCCUCCUUCCCAGGGGAGACCCCAGAUUCUCAGGGUGGAGGAAGCUGUUGCUGAGAGAUGAGGAAGAGCUGGGAAGCAGUGAAACCCUUGCAGAUGGGAGCUGGAGAGGGCCCUUCUCAGCUCUCUGCUUGCUCUCAGGUGUGCUUUCUGUCAGUCUUGCAGCUCUUGGGAGGAAGUGGCAGAAGGGGUUUUUUAAUCUCAAUUUGGCAGGCAAGCAGUCAGGCAGGUGAUAGUCAGAUAGGGCAGACGGAUGCAUAGAUACAGAUUAAGAAGCAAAUAAAUAUAUGAAGUCACUGGAAUAAAGUUGCACAAAGCCAGAGAGUGAGAGACAGACUUCAGACAGCUUCACUUUAUGGGAACUUUUACCAUGUCAGAAAAUAGUUUGUUGCCGUUGUCAUAACAGAAGUGUUGGGCUUUAACAAAUACAUCUUUCAACUGCUUCUUUCUUUUUCCUCUGACAGAGCUCUCUUUCAAUAACUCAGAUAAAUUAUCCUUGGGAGCUGCAUUUCUGUACUGGAAUAAUUAAGAUCUGAGAUGAUUCCCUUAAACUGUUAGGCAGCGUGGCAUCAGUCGUGUCUGACAGCAAAAGUUAACCUCUGCCGUAGCAGCAGGAGUACUGGCUUAGCAAAGCAACAUAGGUAGGGAGACACUUUUUUAGCGCAAGUGGUAGACCUGAAGAAAGGCUUUUGUAUCAAAAGCUGUCCAUUUUCUCUGACAGUGUGUGCGGGUCUAACAAAGAACAGGAUUCCUUCCUACUAGCCUUGUGUGGCUUACAUUAUGUGUGCUUUGAUCAGGGUCUGCUGUUUGCUUCAAACACUUCCCCAAGAACAUUUGCUUGUUUUAAUCACCACUGGCUGUCUCUUUUGUUAUCAAAGGAGCAACUUUUGCUAGCUUUUGAUACAGUGAAUGCAUCACCCUCUAAUCAAAGCGAUGUUUAACUCGCCCCUGAGCAUCUGGAAAGAAACCCUGAGCAGCAGUUACUGGCUAAAUGUAAAAUACAUAUUUAUUAACAGCUGUGCAGGCUGAGGGGUGGGUGCCUGUAUAUAUGUAUAUAGUUUGUCAUGUUGUAUUUGUAGUGCUGGAAUGUGAAGGCAGAUGCUUUUUUUAUGUUGCAGAUUAAAUCGAGAUGUAAAAUAAAAAUAAUGCACAGGAAAAAUAGUUUGAAUUUCAUAUAUAAUACUGUUCAACCGAGUGGCUAAGACAUCACAAAGCCACACUUUAAUACUUACAGUGGUUAUCCUUGUAAUUAACAGCGGUGGACUGAAAAACAGCUUAGUAAAAAUAUCUGAAACUUUAAAUAUUAAAAAGGAAGAAGCAAGUGGAAGGCAAGUGCCUUUCUGGGGCACUGCGGUCACCCAGCAGCCUCUUCCGGAAUUCCUGCAAUCCUCAAACCCUUGAUUCCGAUCCACCUUCUCUGGAUUGUGACAGAGCUACAGAAAGCAAGCUGAAAUUACUGAGGUAAUCAACAGGUAUGUCCUAUGUAUAUAUACACUCGCAUAGAACAGGUUUACAUGCAUGGAAAAAAAACCCAACCCAAACUACUGUUUUGAGACCUCUGUUGCCUCAAGUAAUGACUUCACUGAUGAUGCCAGUACAUGUGGGUAAUUGUACAGGCCUGUGUAUAACCAAGUUUUAGCUUAGGAUGCCCAUCUUUUGCCCAAGUGGGGAAUGUUUGUUGGUGGCAGUUGCACCAUAAAGCAUUGGUAAUUCUGGCUUCCACUGAAGAAACGGUUGAACACAUUGCCCUGCCCAAAAGCCACGAAGGGGCCACCU